rnacentral:rRNA from 1 species
UACAGAGGGGGCAAGCGUUGUUCGGAAUUACUGGGCGUAAAGGGCGCGUAGGCGGCCGCCUAAGUCAGACGUGAAAUCCCUCGGCUCAACCGGGGAACUGCGUCUGAUACUGGGUGGCUUGAAUCCGGGAGAGGGAUGCGGAAUUCCAGGUGUAGCGGCGAAAUGCGUAGAUAUCUGGAGGAACACCGGUGGCGAAGGCGGCAUCCUGGACCGGCAUUGACGCUGAGGCGCGAAAGCUAGGGGAGCAAACGGG